ACAAAAUUCAAAACUUAAUUUGUAAAAUGAUACAUUUCUUAGUAGUUAUGUGAGAGAAGAAGGGGCUAUUAGCCUUUUUUGGGGAUUACUGGGCCUAUUUUUAUCUAGGAGUUUAGGUAUUUAAAUGGCCUCUGGAUCAAAACACUUGAUCAUUGGGUAAAAAGUUGGAACUUCAACUGCAAGAGUGAGCUCCCCAGCUGCAGGUGCCGGGAGAAGAUGGCAAGUGAGACCUCCUCAUCACUCCGGGAGGUGAGGACCUCACUCUGUGGCAGCCCCUGCCAUGGCACAACUGCCCCAGCACCGGAGAAGCUGUCAGCUGGUGAGUGGCUUUAUCAGGUAGGUGACUGCUGAUAUCCUUCAGGAAAUGCUAAUCCUAAGGGAUGUGACACGCUUUGCCAAUUAUCAGCCUAUGCCUUUGUCCACAGAUUCACUCCUCAAAUCCCUGCAAAAGUGGUCCCCAGGCAGCUACAUUUUCUCCUGCCAUGUCUACAUCUACCAACAUCACUUCAUUUGCUUCCUUAGUGGAAGACGAAAAUGCUCAGAGCACCAUAAAGAAACCAGAACUGAAGACAGGCACGGAUUUGCAUGGACACCUUCUAGACAUCCAUCCAUAUGAGAUUUUGCUGCUGUUUAUACUCCUAAGGGGUCGUGCCACCUGGGGAAUGCAAGAAGGAGAUACUCAUGAGCAGGAAGCCGCUUUACCCCCCAGGACUGACACAAACUGUGAGGUGCUGCUGGUUCCUAUGGACACUCAGACGGUGGCCCGUGAGCAGCUCUUGAUUGACCAACAAAGAGCUGCUCUGUUCACAGAGAGCAUUUCCAAAGUGAAUGGACAACAUCCUCCUGUUUGGAAGACUGCUGCUUAAACAAGGCACAGAACACCAAUAAGAAGAACUGUUCUGUUUGUCAGCAAGAGAGACAAAAACUGCCAAUGACUAUGGGGCAGAUGGCCUGGUGGGGAGGCCCUGACCAGAGCUGGCAAGUGAGGCUGAUGCUGGUAGCCCUGUGGGCUACAUAUGGGUUUUUGACAGGAAUAAACAGACUCUGGGCUGGGCUUUGCUUCCUUAGUGGAAGAUGAAAAUGCUCUGAGCACCAUAAAAAAAUCAAGAACUGAAGACAUGCAUGGAUUUGCAGACAACUGUCAUUUCUUCAGAUCAAGGAACAAUGAACAAGUCAUAAUGUCCAAUGAUGAGUAGAGAGUUAUCUCCUUAGCAUCAUAGUUUAGUAAUAGAGAAGUGGAACGAGUAUAAAACACUGGUUGUCUAGAAGGGGAGAUAAAGUAUGAAGGGCUGGCUUACACGCCUUCACAGGUAGGUGCUCACACUCAACAUGAAUGGAA